GGGGGAUAAGCUUCAUUGUCAAAAGGGAAACAGCCCAGAUCACCAGUUAAGGCCCCUAAAUAAUUGCUAAGUGGUAAAGGAUGUGUUUGGACGUAGACAACCAGGAGGUUUGAUUAGAAGCAGCAAUUUUCCUUUAAAAAGUGCGUAAUAGCUUACUGGUCAAGUCCAUUCGCGCCGAUAAUGUUUGGGGCUAAGCAAUUUGCCGAAACUGUGGGUAUAACGGUAGAAGAGCGUUCUGUUAAGAUUGAAGUAAAUAUGUAAGUGUUUAUGGACUUUACAGAAGUGAGAAUGUCGGCUUAAGUAACGAAAACAUUGGUGAGAAUCCAAUGCUCCGUAAACCUAAAGGUUCCUUUGCAAGGUUCGUCCACAAAGGGUUAGUCAGGUCCUAAAAUGAAAUUGAAAAGUUUAGUUGAUGGCAAACAGGUUAAUAUUCCUGUACUACAAAGCGUUAUGUUAAGAAGGACGAAAAAGGCUUAUGCUAGCCGAGUUUUGGUUUUCGGUUUAAAUUUUUAAGGCUAUGACGAAUAUAACUAAAAAAUAUUCUGAGUUGAAAAAUGAGUAGUUUUUUGUUAAGGCAAGAAAUUAGCAGAUGUCACGUUUCCUAGAAAAGUUCUUGUAACGAGUUAAUGUUUUGUACCUGUACUUGAAACUGACACAGGUAGGUGGGUAGAGAAUACCAAGGAGCGCGAGAUAACUCUUUUUAAGGAACUCGGCAAAAUGGCUUUGUAUCUUCGGUAGAAAAAGUGCCUUACUUAAAAUCUAAGGUUGCAGUGAUCAGAUUCAAACGACUGCUUAUCAAAAGCACAGGUCUCCGCAAAGUUGAAAAACCAUGUAUGGGGGCUGACGCCUGCCCAGUGCCGGAAGGUGAAGGAAACUUGUUAGUUUUUUACAAAGCUUGUGACUUAAGCCCCGGUGAACGGCGGCAGUAACUAUAACUGUCCUAAGGUAGCGAAAUUCCUUGUCGGGUAAGUUCCGACCYGCACGAAAGGCGUAACGAUUUGAAUACUGUCUCAAAAAGAGACUCGGUGAAAUAGAAUUAACCGUGAAGAUGCGGUUAACUUGCACUUGGACAGAAAGACCCUAUGAAGCUUUACUGUAGUUUGAAAUUGAGUUUGGAUUUUCCUUGCGCAGAAUAGGUGGGAGGCUAUGAAGGAUUUUUUUCGGAAGAUCUUGAGCCAGAAGGUGAGAUACCACUCUUGGGAAAUUAAAACUCUAAUUGCAUUUCUUUAUUUGAAUGCUUGACAGUUUUAGAUGGGCAGUUUUACUGGGGCGGUAGCCUCCUAAAAAGUAACGGAGGCGUACAAAGGUUUCCUCAAACUGGACGGAAAUUAGUUUUAGAGUGUAAAGACAUAAGGAAGCUUAACUGUUAGACUUACAAGUCAAUCAGGGACGAAAGUCGGUCUUAGUGAUCCGACGUUACUUAAUGGAAAGGACGUCGCUCAACGGAUAAAAGUUACUCUAGGGAUAACAGGCUGAUCUUCCCCAAGAGUUCACAUCGACGGGGAGGUUUGGCACCUCGAUGUCGGCUCAUCGCAACCUGGAGCGGUAGUACGUUCCAAGGGUUGGGCUGUUCGCCCAUGAAAGCGGUACGUGAGCUGGGUUCAGAACGUCGAGAGACAGUUCGGUCCAUAUCCGGUGUAAGCGUUAGAAUAUUGAAAGGAGCUUUUUUUAGUACGAGAGGACCGAAAAAGACACAUCACUAGUAUAUCAGUUCUUGUACCAACAGGAAACGCUGAGUAGCUACAUGUGGAGUGGAUAACUGCUGAAAAAGCAUA
rnacentral:rRNA from 1 species